AGAGUUUGAUCAUGGCUCAGAUUGAACGCUGGCGGCAUGCCUUACACAUGCAAGUCGAACGGCAGCACGGGGGCAACCCUGGUGGCGAGUGGCGAACGGGUGAGUAAUACAUCGGAACGUGUCCUGUAGUGGGGGAUAGCCCGGCGAAAGCCGGAUUAAUACCGCAUACGAUCUACGGAAGAAAGCGGGGGACCGAAAGGCCUCGCGCUAUAGGGGCGGCCGAUGGCAGAUUAGCUAGUUGGUGGGGUAAAGGCCUACCAAGGCGACGAUCUGUAGCUGGUCUGAGAGGACGACCAGCCACACUGGGACUGAGACACGGCCCAGACUCCUACGGGAGGCAGCAGUGGGGAAUUUUGGACAAUGGGGGCAACCCUGAUCCAGCAAUGCCGCGUGUGUGAAGAAGGCCUUCGGGUUGUAAAGCACUUUUGUCCGGAAAGAAAACUUCUGGGUUAAUACCCUGGGAGGCUGACGGUACCGGAAGAAUAAGCACCGGCUAACUACGUGCCAGCAGCCGCGGUAAUACGUAGGGUGCGAGCGUUAAUCGGAAUUACUGGGCGUAAAGCGUGCGCAGGCGGUUUGUUAAGACAGAUGUGAAAUCCCCGGGCUUAACCUGGGAACUGCAUUUGUGACUGGCAAGCUAGAGUAUGGCAGAGGGGGGUAGAAUUCCACGUAGCAGUGAAAUGCGUAGAGAUGUGGAGGAAUACCGAUGGCGAAGGCAGCCCCCUGGGCCAAUACUGACGCUCAUGCACGAAAGCGUGGGGAGCAAACAGGAUUAGAUACCCUAGUAGUCC
rnacentral:rRNA from 1 species